rnacentral:rRNA from 1 species
CAGCAGCCGCGGGAAUACGUAGGUGGCAAGCGUUGUCCGGAAUUAUUGGGCGUAAAGGGCUCGCAGGCGGUUUCUUAAGUCUGAUGUGAAAGCCCCCGGCUCAACCGGGGAGGGUCAUUGGAAACUGGGAAACUUGAGUGCAGAAGAGGAGAGUGGAAUUCCACGUGUAGCGGUGAAAUGCGUAGAGAUGUGGAGGAACACCAGUGGCGAAGGCGACUCUCUGGUCUGUAACUGACGCUGAGGAGCGAAAGCGUGGGGAGCGAACAGGAUUAGAUACCCCUGUAGUCCCUGUCUCUUAUAU